ACCUUUAUAACCCUCUGCAACAGC
rnacentral:piRNA from 1 species